UUCAACAUUCGAUCAUGAAGAUUUCAAUAUGGUUAAUGCUUUUACUAGAAGUUUUCAAUUCCUCAGCUUUAAGAAACAUCCCACUUUUGGAUGUGUGCAGUAAGAAUGAUGUAAAGGUUGAAUGUGUCCCAUCUUGUCCAAGAAUUUGUAUGACUUCUCUGGUUAUACGCAAAUGUCCAAUUCUAAAAUGCACAAAAGGAUGCGCCUGCCGAAGUGGAUAUGUUCGAAAGGACUCCAUUUCGGGAAUGUGUAUUAAACGUUCCGAUUGCAAACGUUGGGUAUUGUGAGAAAUACAACAAUUUGAGAGAUAAGUUGGAA